ensembl:lncRNA
UGUUCCCCUGGCUAUCUGUAAAUGAUGUCUGAGUGUUGGAUGUCCCCCUGGCUAUCUGUAAAUGGUGUCUGAGUGUUGGAGUGUUCCCAGGCUAUCUGUAAAUGGUGUUGGAGUGUUCCCCUGGCUAUCUGUAAAUGAUGUCUGAGUGUUGGAGUGUUCCCCUGGCUAUCUGUAAAUGAUGUCUGAGUGUUGGAGUGUUCCCCUGACUAUCUGUAAAUGGUGUCUGAGUGUUGGAGUGUUCCCCUGACUAUCUGUAAAUGGUGUCUGAGUGUUGGAGUGUUCCCCUGGCUAUCUGUAAAUGAUGUCUGAGUGUUGGAGUGUUCCCCUGGCUAUCUGUAAAUGAUGUCUGAGUGUUGGAGUGUUCCCCUGGCUAUCUGUAAAUGAUGUCUGAGUGUUGGAGUGUUCCCUGGCUAUCUGUAAAUGAUGUCUGAGUGUUGGAG